ensembl:lncRNA
AGGGAGAAGAGGGAUAUCAAGUUUGGGCGGAGAUCUAAAACAACAUGGAGCGGGGAAGAGGAGUUUGCAACUGGCCUCCUCAUCGGAGCAGCAAACACAGAAGAAAUUUUACAGAUGAAGAAAGAACGCUACAGAAAAGACCUCCAGGAGCAGAUCGCCGAACAACACAGGAACAAGAAAAGAGAGAGAGAACUGGAGCUGAAAGUUGCUGCCACUGGAGCAAAUGAUCCUGAGAAACCGCCGGACCGUAUCAGGGAGUUUGGUCUCCAGCGAAGGAGAGAUGAGAGGAAAGAGGAGAGAAAGGUGGAGAGGAAGGAGGAGAGGAGAGAAGCAGCUGUAGAGACAGACUUCCCUCUUGUUCCUAUGAAUGUGAAGACUGUGGUGGAUAAGGCGACUCCUGCUCCAGAGCUCCCCCGUGUGGCCUUUCAGAGUCCUAUCCUGGGCUACAGCUCUGCUCUGGGUCUGGGAGGACAGGCGCUGUACCCAUUGAACCAGCCAAACGGACUACUGUACCCAAGACCAAUGGACACUCCCAGGAUACCUUUGUACCCUCCCGCACAUCCUUCGUCCACUCUGGGAGAUGUCUACAGAAGAUCUCCUUAUGAA